rnacentral:tRNA from 1 species
UUAACUGAAGCCAAAAUUUGAGGUAUUUUAUUGUUAAUAAAAUUAAUGAAUUAAUUUCCAGUUAAA